AACGAACGCUGGCGGCAGGCCUAACACAUGCAAGUCGAACGCUGUAGCAAUACAGAGUGGCAGACGGGUGAGUAACGCGUGGGAACCUUCCCAGUUGUGCGGAAUAGCUCAGGGAAACUUGGGGUAAUACCGCAUAAGCCCUUAGGGGGAAAGAUUUAUCGCCAUUGGAUGGGCCCGCGUCGGAUUAGCUAGUUGGUGAGGUAAUGGCUCACCAAGGCGACGAUCCGUAGCUGGUCUGAGAGGAUGAUCAGCCACACUGGGACUGAGACACGGCCCAGACUCCUACGGGAGGCAGCAGUGGGGAAUAUUGGACAAUGGGCGAAAGCCUGAUCCAGCCAUGCCGCGUGAGUGAAGAA
rnacentral:rRNA from 1 species